AUUGAACGCUGGCGGCAUGCCUUACACAUGCAAGUCGAACGGUAACAGGUCUUCGGAUGCUGACGAGUGGCGAACGGGUGAGUAAUACAUCGGAACGUGCCUAGUAGUGGGGGAUAACUACUCGAAAGAGUGGCUAAUACCGCAUGAGAUCUACGGAUGAAAGCAGGGGAUCGCAAGACCUUGUGCUACUAGAGCGGCCGAUGGCAGAUUAGGUAGUUGGUGGGAUAAAAGCUUACCAAGCCGACGAUCUGUAGCUGGUCUGAGAGGACGAUCAGCCGACCUGGGACUGGGACACGGCCCAGACUCCUACGGGAGGCAGCAGUGGGGAAUUUUGGACAAUGGGCGGAAGCCUGAUCCAGCAAUGCCGCGUGCAGGAUGAAGGCCUUCGGGUUGUAAACUGCUUUUGUACGGAACGAAAAGCCCCGGGUUAAUACCCUGGGGUCAUGACGGUACCGUAAGAAUAAGCACCGGCUAACUACGUGCCAGCCGCCGCCGUAA
rnacentral:rRNA from 1 species